CGUAGAUCUACAUAAUGAAUUGAGCGUUGGUCUAUGGAAUCAAAAGUUGGCGUGUGCUAGGCUCUACACAUAGCAACACAACUAUUUGGCGAGCAAUCGAGAUGACACAGGCGUGCAUUUGAACGAAUUGGUGGUUUUUGUUUUUUUACACAGCUCAUAAUAUGCAGGCAUUUCAGGCAUUAGUUGUUACUUCUCUUUACACAUUAUGUGCUCAGUGCCAUUAAUAAUCUACACAAAAUCUCAUGUUUGCUAUAAUAAUGUAACGCUUGGAUUCAACGAGGUUUUAGGUCAGGCCCAGCGACCUCGUUGAAUCCGAGUUCCACUGUAAUACGAGCAAAACCUAGGGCUAGAUCAAACGUUUAAUUUCUCCGAUUUGCUUCCUCCCCGUCCGUCCUACCUCCCCAUCCUUCUCAGGCAAUCAUGAUCAGAUCUACAGUGAUGCAGUGUCACCUGAAAAAUCUUUAACUCUUUUCCUACCAGGCCAAAAUCCACCACUGGCCCAGGGCUUUUCCCUGACCUAUUUUUAUGCCCCUACCCCACCAAAGGAAAAUGUCAAAACAUCUGACUAAACACACACAAACUGUAUCAUAUGGCCUAUCAAACUGAAGUUUCAAAAAUAAUCUAUCAGAUGGUAGUACAAUAAUAACAAUAUUGGAGAUUUAUUCCAAUAUAUUAGUUUAGGGUUCCUAAAAGUGAUUAUGCAAUACCGAAUGUGUCAUACUCAUAGAUGAAAUCCACAAUUUUUCAGCUUUGAAAGGUCAUAUAACUAAAAAAGUGCAACAUCUGCAUCAUUCAAACUUCACAGGUUGCCUAAGUAAUGUAAAAAAAUGCUGAAAGUUAUGUAUGACAAUGUGUACCUACUAAAGAAGUGAAAAUAUUAAACAUACUGAUGAAGACAGGGGAGCACUUUUCUUUUCAUUUUUACGUUUCCAAGGGGAAAGAAAAAAGCACUGAAAUGACUAAAAUUCGCCUGUCAGUGCUAUAUUUUCUUUCAUAUCCGCUAACAGGAUUCUAUUACUUCUAAAACAUGGAUUGGCCGAGAAUUUCAAAUCUUUUCAUCACUUGAUUGGAAUAGAUAGCGUUAGCGAGCCACUUGAGCGGUCCAGUGAGGCCACGUCCGUGAGCAAUUGCAGCUCACGGUAGGAAAAGUGUCAAUAAAGGAACACCCCCCUCCCCCACAGGAAAAAAAUAUCUGGCGUCGCCAGAUAUCAGUCAGCCCAAUAACUUACAGACUUACAGCCUGGCGAAUGCCUGAUCGGCUUUUAUUUAGUGAGGACUCACACUCAAGUCAUGACAGAUCGAAGGGAGAUAACUCAUUUCUUCAGUUAAUGAUUGGUAAACAAGUCCCUUUGAUGUUGGGCAGUCGGUGCUACAUGACUAAAUGUCAACAGAGGACAUGAAAACCUGGUUGUACCACCAGCCCCGCUGUACCGCCAACUUCUCAUGCUCUUUCCAAGAGUUACCUCUUGAGUGAAGAAGGACUUCCAAAUGAAAACAUCAGAGUACCAACACAUACGGUAGAAUUUAGUCUUACUCUUAAAAUUAAUGCACGUUGAAAAGUUUAAAAGAUAAUAUGAGAGAAGCUGAAGCUUUUUGCCAUUGCAUGCAUGGUGUCAGUUUAUUUCCUGCUAGCUGAAAGUUCAUUUUAUUGAGUAAAGUAAAGUGGAGUCCACACAUAAAAACUGAAGCAUGUCGUUGAUCUGAAAGGCCGCUGUAUACCGAAAGCAGACCUGCCACUCAUCCCGAUUUAGUCAGGAUAUCCCGAUUUUUUGCCCCAAAUCUCAAGCAUCCUGAUUUUCCCGAUUUCGAUCGCGUGUAUCCCGAUUUUUUGUCCCAGUCCGCUGUUGUGCCGGAUUUUUCA